CCUACGGGAGGCAGCAGUAGGGAAUAUUGCUCAAUGGGCGAAACCCUGAAGCAGCAACGCAGCGUGGAGGAUGAAGGUUUUCGGAUUGUAAACUCCUUUUGUUAGAGAAGAUAAUGACGGUAUCUAACGAAUAAGCACCGGCUAACUCCGUGCCAGCAGCCGCAGUAAUACGGAGGGUGCAAGCGUUACUCGGAAUAACUGGGCGUAAAGAGCGCGUAGGCGGGAUAGCAAGUCAGAUGUGAAAUCCUAUGGCUUAACCAUAGAAUUGCAUUUGAAACUGUUAUUCUAGAGUAUGGGAGAGGUAGGUGGAAUUCUUGGUGUAGGGGUAAAAUCCGUAGAGAUCAAGAGGAAUACUCAUUGCGAAGGCGGCCUACUAGAACAUAACUGACGCUGAUGCGCGAAAGCGUGGGGAGCAAACAGGAUUAGAUACCCGUGUAGUC
rnacentral:rRNA from 1 species